rnacentral:rRNA from 1 species
ACUCCUACGGGAGGCAGCAGUGGGGAAUAUUGGACAAUGGGCGCAAGCCUGAUCCAGCAACGCCGCGUGAGUGAUGAAGGCCUUAGGGUUGUAAAGCUCUUUUACCUGGGAUGAUAAUGACAGUACCGGGAGAAUAAGCCCCGGCUAACUCCGUGCCAGCAGCCGCGGUAAU